rnacentral:misc_RNA from 1 species
AUAUUAAUAAUAAUAAUAAUAAUAAAUCUGUUUUAAUAGAUACAAAAAAUAGAAGUUGAGGUGUUUAGCAUAUUGAAAUAAAAGUUUAAGGUGCCGCCAGACUUUUCAAUGAAAGUAUAGGGUGUAAUUUAUGUAUUUGGGCAAUUAAGUUAAUGUAUGUUGUUUAGAACUUAUACAAGUACAAAUAUGGAACACGUAGUAAGAAAGUGUAAUGUAAAAUCAAUACUCCAAUUUUAGGUUUAGCAAAUUUCCUUUCUCCUUUAUAAUUCUAAAUUUUAAAUUACAUAACUUGAACUUAAAACUAAAUAAAUUAUUGGAUUUAAAAUUCUUUAAUCUGAAUGCACCCUUAACUAAAAGAUCACAUCCAAAUCCCUCCUAUUGAAAUCAUUUCUAAAAAAAUUUAAGAGUUUGAUGAGGUCCAAUAUCUAACUUCAGUGGCUUUUUAUCCAUGCAUGCAGCUAUUAGCCUAUUACACUAUUCACCACUAAAAUUAAACCAUAGUUCUCAAAAUUCAAGCAAGAUUCCCAAUGCUUAAUUGUCAAUAAGGCUUAAACAUAUUACGAAUGCUAAAUCUUAAAAUAACAAUACAUCUUUUGAAUAUUUGGAACUGGGAAGAGUUCAUGAAAAGGUUGAGAGACUCUAGAUGAAAAGGUGGGGAAUGCCAUGAAAGGCAAACCUCCAUUCCUCCACCCAACACAUAAUAACUUUCAACGGAGUAAUACUUACGACAGUAAAGAAUUUAGGUCAAAAGUUAUGA